GACGAACGCUGGCGGCGUGCUUAACACAUGCAAGUCGAACGGAAAGGCUCCUGCUUGCAGGGGUACUCGAGUGGCGAACGGGUGAGUAACACGUGGGUGAUCUGCCCUGCACUUCGGGAUAAGCCUGGGAAACUGGGUCUAAUACCGGAUAGGACGAUGGUUUGGAUGCCAUUGUGGAAAGUUUUUCGGUGUGGGAUGAGCUCGCGGCCUAUCAGCUUGUUGGUGGGGUAAUGGCCUACCAAGGCGUCGACGGGUAGCCGGCCUGAGAGGGUGUACGGCCACAUUGGGACUGAGAUACGGCCCAGACUCCUACGGGAGGCAGCAGUGGGGAAUAUUGCACAAUGGGCGCAAGCCUGAUGCAGCGACGCCGCGUGGGGGAUGACGGCCUUCGGGUUGUAAACUCCUUUCGCUAGGGACGAAGCGCAAGUGACGGUACCUGGAGAAGAAGCACCGGCUAACUACGUG
rnacentral:rRNA from 1 species